rnacentral:rRNA from 1 species
UACGUAGGUCCCGAGCGUUGUCCGGAUUUAUUGGGCGUAAAGCGAGCGCAGGUGGUUUAUUAAGUCUGGUGUAAAAGGCAGUGGCUCAACCAUUGUAUGCAUUGGAAACUGGUAGACUUGAGUGCAGGAGAGGAGAGUGGGACUCCAUGUGUAGCGGUGAAAUGCGUAGAUAUAUGGAGGAACACCGGUGGCGAAAGCGGCUCUCUGGCCUGUAACUGACACUGAGGCUCGAAAGCGUGGGGAGCAAACAGG